rnacentral:rRNA from 1 species
UUGUAAACUGCUUUUGUACGAGAAAAAACACUGGUUCGUGAAGCAGCUUGACGGUCUCGUAAGAAUAAGGAUCGGCUAACUCCGUGCCAGCAGCCGCGGUAAUACGGAGGAUCCAAGCGUUAUCCGGAAUCAUUGGGUUUAAAGGGUCCGUAGGCGGUUUAGUAAGUCAGUGGUGAAAGCCCAUCGCUCAACGGUGGAACGGCCAUUGAUACUGCUGAACUUGAAUUAUUAGGAAGUAACUAGAAUAUGUAGUGUAGCGGUGAAAUGCUUAGAGAUUACAUGGAAUACCAAUUGCGAAGGCAGGUUACUACUAAUUGAUUGACGCUGAUGGACGAAAGCGUGGGGAGCGAACAGGAUUACAUACCCUGGUAGUCCACGCCGUAAACGAUGGAUACUAGCUGUUGGGAGCAAUCUCAGUGGCUAAGCGAAAGUGAUAAGUAUCCCACCUGGGGAGUACGUUCGCAAGAAUGAAACUCAGAGGAAUUGACCGGGGCCCGCACAAGCGGUGGAGCAUGUGGUUUAAUUCGAUGAUACACGAGGAACCUUACCAAGGCUUAAAUGUAA